rnacentral:rRNA from 1 species
ACUGUAAGCUGUCACUGGUUUUUCGAUUUCGAUGCUCAGUGUAAGUGGGAGACUUUGAAGCAGUGCUUUAGGGCACUGUGGAGUCGUCAAUGAGACACCACCCUUUGGAUUUGGAAAAUCUAACAUCCUGCCUUGAAUCAGGCGGAUGGACAAUGGCAGCCGGUCAGUUUUACUGGGGCGGUAUCCUCCUAAAAAGUAACGGAGGAGCGCGAAGUUUGGCUCAG